GGGAAAGGUAAAGAGGAGGAAAGAAAAGAAUGGAAGGAAGGAGAAGAGGAAAGGGAAGGAGUUUGGAGCUCACCUUGGUGUUGGCUACCCGCUUAGUUGCUGGAGAGACAUGCAUGUACCUCGAGGCUGGUAGUGGGUUGAAUAACCAGUUUACACACUUGGAACCAAAUUGACAGAACACAGCUAAGAUGGUGAUGCAGGUACUACCAUGCCUAUGGCUUGUGACUCUCUAUCCUUUGGACCCGAGUAUGGAGUGAGACUGGUGGAUGCCAGAAGCGGAGGAGCAUGACCAAGAUUGUGCUUGCAACCACUAUGCUUACACAGCACCCUGAGGUGUAGAACGUAUUUGUGACUUUUGAUACCAAACUGUACAAUUGGUAUUCUGUUGGACAUAUUAUAUAUAAGUCUUGCAUGCUUGUAAAUUGGAUAAAUCGGUUAUGAAUAUGUAAUAUCACUAGAUGAC